rnacentral:rRNA from 1 species
ACACGUAGGGGGCGAGCGUUGUCCGGAAUUACUGGGCGUAAAGGGUGCGUAGGCGGCCCAAUAAGUCAGGUGUGAAAUACCGUGGCUCAACUGCGGUAUUGCACAUGAAACUGUUGGGCUUGAGUGCAGGAGAGGGAAGUGGAAUUCCUAGUGUAGCGGUGAAAUGCGUAGAGAUUAGGAAGAACACCAGUGGCGAAGGCGGCUUCCUGGCCUGCAACUGACGUUGAUGCACGAAAGCGUGGGGAGCAAACAGGAUUAGAUACCCUGGUAGUCCACGCUGUAAACGAUGGAUACUAGGUGUAGGGUGUGAACAGCAUUCUGUGCCGCAGUUAACGCAUUAAGUAUCCCGCCUGGGGAGUACGGCCGCAAGGCUGAA